GUAGGUCUUCAUCCACCACCACUAACUCUACCUCUACUUCUAGUGCUAGUGUCACUUGUGAUACCUCACUAAAGGAUGAGAAUGAGACUCUCAAGAGAGAGGUGGAUAAGCUCACUCACGCCCUAGGCAAGGCCUAUGGUGGUGAGGCCCGCUUGCUAAAGUGCUUGGGUAGCCAAAGGUUUUUUCUCAACAAAGAGGGAUUAGGCUAUACCCCC
rnacentral:lncRNA from 1 species